rnacentral:rRNA from 1 species
ACUCAGUGAAAUUGAACUCGCUGUGAAGAUGCAGUGUACCCGCGGCAAGACGGAAAGACCCCGUGAACCUUUACUAUAGCUUGACACUGAACAUUGAGCCUUGAUGUGUAGGAUAGGUGGGAGGCUUUGAAGUGUGGACGCCAGUCUGCAUGGAGCCGACCUUGAAAUACCACCCUUUAAUGUUUGAUGUUCUAACGUUGACCCGUAAUCCGGGUUGCGGACAGUGUCUGGUGGGUAGUUUGACUGGGGCGGUCUCCUCCUAAAGAGUAACGGAGGAGCACGAAGGUUGGCUAAUCCUGGUCGGACAUCAGGAGGUUAGUGCAAUGGCAUAAGCCAGCUUGACUGCGAGCGUGACGGCGCGAGCAGGUGCGAAAGCAGGUCAUAGUGAUCCGGUGGUUCUGAAUGGAAGGGCCAUCGCUCAACGGAUAAAAGGUACUCCGGGGAUAACAGGCUGAUACCGCCCAAGAGUUCAUAUCGACGGCGGUGUUUGGCACCUCGAUGUCGGCUCAUCACAUCCUGGGGCUGAAGUAGGUCCCAAGGGUAUGGCUGUUCGCCAUUUAAAGUGGUACGCGAGCUGGGUUUAGAACGUCGUGAGACAGUUCGGUCCCUAUCUGCCGUGGGCGCUGGAGAACUGAGGGGGGCUGCUCCUAGUACGAGAGGACCGGAGUGGACGCAUCACUGGUGUUCGGGUUGUCAUGCCAAUGGCACUGCCCGGUAGCUAAAUGCGGAAGAGAUAAGUGCUGAAAGCAUCUAAGCACGAAACUUGCCCCGAGAUGAGUUCUCCCUGACCCUUUAAGGGUCCUGAAGGAACGUUGAAGACGACGACGUUGAUAGGCCGGGUGUGUAAGCGCAGCGAUGCGUUGAGCUAACCGGUACUAAUGAACCGUGAGGCUUAACCUUACAACGCCGAAG